GAUGAAGAACGUAGCGAAAUGCGAUAAGUAAUGUGAAUUGCAGAAUUCCGUGAAUCAUCGAAUCUUUGAACGCACAUUGCGCCCCCUGGCAUUCCGGGGGGCAUGCCUGUCCGAGCGUCAUUUCUGCCCUCCAGCCCGGCUGGGUGUUGGGCGCUGUCCCCCCGGGGACACGCCCCAAAGGCAGUGGCGGCGCCGCGUCGGGUCCUCGAGCGUAUGGGGCUUUGUCACCCGCUCGGGACGGACUCGUCGGCGCUGGUCUUCCUCCAGGCGACCCUUCGGGGCUCGUCUUCCUUCGGUUGACCUCGGAUCAGGUAGGGUUACCCGCUGAGCUUAAGCAUAUCAAUAACGGAGGA
rnacentral:misc_RNA from 1 species